AGAGUUUGAUCCUGGCUCAGGACGAACGCUGGCGGCGUGCCUAACACAUGCAAGUCGUGCGGAGACAGUGAGUAGCUUGCUAUGAGCUGUUUUAGCGGCGGACGGGUGAGUAACGCGUGAGCAACCUUUCCCAGACAGGGGAAUAACACACCGAAAGGUGUACUAAUACCGCAUAAGACCACGGGAUCACAUGGUUCUGAGGUAAAAGAUUUAUCGGUUUGGGGUGGGCUCGCGUCCGAUUAGGUAGUUGGUGAGGUAACGGCCCACCAAGCCGACGAUCGGUAGCCGACCUGAGAGGGUGAUCGGCCACAUUGGGACUGAGACACGGCCCAAACUCCUACGGGAGGCAGCAGUGGGGAAUAUUGCACAAUGGGGGAAACCCUGAUGCAGCGACGCCGCGUGAGUGAAGAAGUAUUUCGGUAUGUAAAGCUCUAUCAGCAGGGAAGAAAGUGACGGUACCUGAAUAAGAAGCCCCGGCUAACUACGUGCCAGCAGCCGCGGUAAUACGUAGGGGGCAAGCGUUAUCCGGAAUUACUGGGUGUAAAGGGAGCGUAGGCGGCACGCCAAGCCAGAUGUGAAAGCCCGAGGCUUAACCUCGCGGAUUGCAUUUGGAACUGGCGAGCUAGAGUACAGGAGAGGAAAGCGGAAUUCCUAGUGUAGCGGUGAAAUGCGUAGAUAUUAGGAAGAACACCAGUGGCGAAGGCGGCUUUCUGGACUGAAACUGACGCUGAGGCUCGAAAGCGUGGGGAGCAAACAGGAUUAGAUACCCUGGUAGUCCACGCCGUAAACGAUGAGUGCUAGGUGUCGGGGAGGAAUCCUCGGUGCCGCAGCUAACGCAAUAAGCACUCCACCUGGGGAGUACGACCGCAAGGUUGAAACUCAAAGGAAUUGACGGGGGCCCGCACAAGCGGUGGAGCAUGUGGUUUAAUUCGAAGCAACGCGAAGAACCUUACCAAGGCUUGACAUCCCGAUGACCGCUCUAGAGAUAGAGUUUCUCUUCGGAGCAUCGGUGACAGGUGGUGCAUGGUUGUCGUCAGCUCGUGUCGUGAGAUGUUGGGUUAAGUCCCGCA
rnacentral:rRNA from 1 species